GAUGAACGCUGGCGGCGUGCCUAAUACAUGCAAGUCGAACGAAGUCUUCGGACUUAGUGGCGAACGGGUGAGUAACACGUCGGUACCUACCCCGAAGUGGGGAAUAACUGCCCGAAAGGGUGGCUAAUACCGCAUAAUACCGCAAGGUUAAAGCAGUAAUGCGCUUCGGGAGGGGCCUGCGUCCCAUUAGCUAGUUGGUAGGGUAAUGGCCUACCAAGGCGACGAUGGGUAGCUGGAUCGAGAGGUUGACCAGCCACACUGGGACUGAGAUACGGCCCAGACUCCUACGGGAGGCAGCAGUAAGGAAUCUUCCACAAUGGACGAAAGUCUGAUGGAGCAACGCCGCGUGCAGGAUGACGGCCCUCGGGUUGUAAACUGCUUUUAUACGGGAGGAUUAUGACGGUACCGUAUGAAUAAGGACCGGCUAACUACGUGCCAGCCGCCGCGGUAA
rnacentral:rRNA from 1 species